UCGCGUCGCGUCGCGUCGUGUCGCCUCCCCGCCGGCUCGCGACCACGUGACCAGGAGGUACCGUGUUCGCUGCCCGCCGCCAGGCGGCACCGACCCCGCACACGUGCAGCGCUCCGAACAGUCGACUGCUUCCUUCCCGACCACAACUCUCCUCGUCUGCUUGAAUGGCACGCAGUGAAUUAUUUUUUCGGGACUAACUUCUUGUUUGAAUAAUAAUAAAAAAAGAACUUUUUUUCUGGCUGAAAAUUUUUUUUUAUCUGAUUGAAUGCCACGGAGUGAAAUUAUUUUUUUUUCAGAAUUAACUUCUGGUUUGAAUAAAAAAAGAAAUUAGUUGUGACUCAAUUUUUUUCUCAACGAAACUACUAAGGGGGAAACGCAAGCCGUAAGCCGAAGGCUGGAUGGCCAUACCUGUACUGGAACGCGGUCCUUCCUAACGAGAGAAGUCUGGUCGUCUCACAGCCUGGUAGCAGCUUGCCCCAGUCAAGGAGCAGUUUGUGCUGGGGACGAAAUCGACUAAGAUCGCAAAGAUAAUUUAUUUGAAAGUUUGACAUCGCGUGCGACCGAACAUCAUGGGAACGCCCACUUAAAUGAUAGUGACGUCCGUUCCUGCUUGCAAAACCGCCAAAAACACCAAGACUGUUAGAACUUUCGUACAGAAUAGAUGUUUUCUCAGCUGGAGUAGUCUGGAUAUAAUUUUAUUUCGGCACGAAAGAAUCUCUUGCAAGCAAGUUAGUCUAGUGGUUCCAAUUUCUUCUAGAAUUUUAUUAGUCAUUCUCACUUAACUUUCCAAUGUCGCUACUGUAGUAGUCAGAUGGAAGGUCAGCGAGUUGUUUUAGAUGUGGUGGAUGUUCAGCACAUUUACCAAGACUGAAUCAUAUCUGAAUCACCAUAUAUAUAUAUAUAGGGAGUAGGUAUUGGUAAGAUACAUUCACAUAGUGAUCGUAAGCAUAAUGUGCGGUAUAACAUAUGUCAAUUCAGCAGGAAAAAUUACAUAAAAGGCAUUGUGAAAGUCUUUUUCAAUAUUUGUGGUAGUAAAUGGUUCCUUUGGAAAUAUUUUAAGAACAGAUUAUGCUGACAUAUUUGCAGUUUUAAAGGCAAGGGUUUAAAAGGCGUGUUAGUAAGGUUAUUAUCCUGUGUCAAGGGUCUGAUAUUAACCCGCAGUGUUCACUUGAACACAGUGAUAUUUAAUUCAGAGAUGUAUUAUAGCAACAAGGGAAUGUAGGGUAAAGCUAUCAUUAUUGGUCCUUUUUUCAUUACUGUUAGCCCUGCCACGAUAAUUUAAUCAAUGCUGUGUCUUCGUUGAGUUUAUUGUUGAAAUUUCUUGGUCUGCUAACUAAUUUUGGUACUUCGUUCUAAGACUGCAGCUUGACGUGCCAUGCCUGGUUCAUUAAUGUGAUGUCUUUAUUAGUGAUAGAAUUACCAUGUGAUAGCCAUACAUUUAUACUGUAUCAAAUACUGUGGUUUUCCUGCCAUCUUCGGCUCAUAAUGCAGGUGUGUGAUACAUAGUCCUGCUGCAGAUGCAAGGGCAUUUCAUAGAGUGGUAGGUAGCCCCAUUACAUUCCUGCAUCAAACACUUCAGUUACAACCAUCUUAAAGUUUUCUGACACAUAGCUAGGUGCUGCAACGGAAAGCCCUGUUUCAUAAUUUCGUAUUUGAUAGAGUGUCAUGUACAGCUGAAUUUUUCAAUAUUUCAUCUUACAUUAAAGACUAAGUUUUGUCCGCCAUGUUUAGCUCACAGUGGUGGUGUCUGAAGUAGUUCUAGGUUAUACAGGAACUAGGGCACCAUAGAGUGAGUACACAGAUCACAGUGGUGGUCAGAAGCAGUUCUAGAUGUUAUAAGGACUAGGGCAACAUAUAGUGUGGUACAGAGGACAUGUCGUGGUCACAGUCUGUAGCAGUACCAGGUGCUCGGUGCCACAGCUAGAUGGAACAGAGGACAUCUCGUGGUCACAGUGGUGGAGACUGUAGCAGUCCCAGGUGCUAGGUGGAACAGAGGACAUGUGGUGGAGACUGUAGUACCGGGUGCUAGGUGCGACAGCUGGCACGGAGGAUAUGCCCAGCUCAAGGAGCUAGGCGCGCGGCAGUGAUGGAGGCCGGCUAGGACAU